rnacentral:rRNA from 2 species
UGAAGUUUUCUUUUAGAGAAUUAAGAUUUGAUCAUGGUUUUAAAUGAUUUUAAAUGGUAUUAUCUAAAUUUGAUUUACGGAGUGGACAAUGAAAAUUUAUCCCGGCAAAUUAUCGCUUGUAAAAUACUUGUUCCAGAAUAAUCGGCUAGACUUGUUAAGCUUGUACUUUAAUUGUUGUUAACUAUAAAUUUAUUUUUAUAACUUUAAAAGUUUAAGGUAGAAUUAGAACUUUUUUAUGUAUAGUUUUAUAGUUUUAAAUUUUGUUGAACGAAUUAGAUUAGUACCUAAUUAGACAAAAAUUAAAAGAGCAGAAGUAAAGUUGUAUUUAAACUGAAAAGAUAUUGGCAGACAUUCUAAAUUAUCUUUGGAGGCUGAGUAAUAAUUGAGAACCCCCAUUAACUACUUAGUUUUUAGACUCAUGUAUGAUCGUUUAUUUUAUUCUUAAGAUAAAUAA